rnacentral:rRNA from 1 species
GACGAAGGAUGCAAGCGUUAUCCGGAUUCAUUGGGUUUAAAGGGAGCGUAGGUGGCCUUAUAAGUCAGUGGUGAAAUCUCUCGGCUUAACUGAGAAAUUGCCAUUGAUACUGUAGGGCUUGAGUAUAGUUGCCGUUGGCGGAAUAUGACAUGUAGUGGUGAAAUACAUAGAGAUGUCAUAGAACACCGAUUGCGAAGGCAGCUGACGAAACUAUAACUGACACUGAGGCUCGAAAGUGCGGGGAUCAAACAGG